CGACUCGUCCAUGAGUCGCUCGGUAAUCAUUCUUGCAUGAAACGGGUUGGUGUAUUUCAAUUAGCAGAAAAAAUGCCUUUAAGACACAAGUUGGCCCCCGGCUGAUAUGAAGUCUAGAGACCCCAAGGAAGCAGAAUCACCAAAGAAAACACUUUAUGAUGAAAAUCAAGGUUCUAGUACUUGUACAUAGACCCGGCUCUCGGACUAAAAUUGGUAGGACCAAAAUAGGAACCGGGAAUUACUGAUAGUGAUUGUGUUAUUCCUCGUAUAACGUCAGCCAGCGAAGACAUCUUUUUUGUUACGACAUCAUGAAUCGUUCGUUACAGGAGUUGCUUCGACGUUUCUUGUGACGGAACAAAGAUCUUCAAUUUCAUCGUAGUUGGAGCUGACUUCUGUCAUACAAUCAGGACUGGCACUGGCUAUACUACCCUGUUUACUUCUAAAGUAGGGGUUGUUGAGCCAAAACUAAAAUUGGGCAUUUCCUCUCUACGAGAUGGAUUCAUCGGUGCUAAUUGUGAUUUGUGCCGUAGAUAUACUGUCUUCUGUAACUUAUGGCUGGGUGCUGAAAAACCAGUUCAACACAACACUGCGACAGGUGGAUGAUCAGUACUACUUCGUCGAACAGAAGAAAAUCUACUGUCGUUGGUGUGAAGAAGAUGAAGUCUGGGAGGGCAUAUGCGAAAAGAACGGAGAGCCUUCGAAGUGCAGUCUGGAUACAAAUUAUACGAAACCGCACCUCUCGACAUUUCCUAUAGUUCUGACGUCCUCACAGCCACCGCCGACUAGCUCACCCAGCUUCUUUGACAAGUGGUCCACUUCCUGGUCGUCUACUCUAUCACCAUCGUCCUCAAGACAAGAUCCCCCAAGUACACCCACACUCGGAGACGCACGUACCAAUUGCACCAACGUGGAAACAGAGAACUGUGUUGUAUGGGUUAUGCUUGUAAUCAUUAUUGUACUUGUUCUCUUGGUCUUGGGUUUAAUUGUGUAUUGCUGUAGACUGAAACAAAAAGUGAGGAAUCUAAUCACUAGACAAAAUAGGGCCGACACAUUGUUACAAGAAUUUGACGGACAGAAAAAAAAUGAAAGUCGGGGAAGUGGGGUGGUGGAAUUACUGAAAAAAAGAAACCCAACACUACGUUGAGUUUGACUUCUUUUGGGAGACAGUAAGAGAAUAGAAAUUACUUGUCUUAGAAGACCAACCCAGAGCAAUUAUAAGGGAAAGGCCGAGACUAUAAACUAAAUGUAUGAGUGACUUUCCAAGUGAAUGGAUAAAUAGAUAUUAUAGGAACGGUAAACAACUGAAGAAUAUGUGAUGCAAGCCUCACCAGCAAGUCAAAUAUUAUGUCUCCUAUUAUGUGCACGGGCCGCAGUCGUUAGCGAUUUGUCGAGAACUGUGUAUCCUUUUCAGCGACAGUAUCACACGGAGUGUUGACCGGCACUUCUUGGCGAGGUAUUUUAAUAAAUGGUGAUACUUUAAACCUGUCACACUCCCAAUCUGUAGUGCGUGAGAGGUCUCGAUCGUUGCAUGGACCGAUUGCAGGCGACGGUCGCUAGCGGCUAGACGUCGCGUCGCGUAUAAGGAGACGGGUUUUUAAAAAUAUUCUUACUUGAUUGAUUUUGGGGCGGCAAGGACCGCGCUCGACACGACUUCGUGUCGCGCAUAAGGAGACAUACUCUAAUGGUUUUGAGAUUUUGUUUAGACGUGCCAUCCAUGUAAAAAAAAAAAA
rnacentral:lncRNA from 1 species